rnacentral:rRNA from 1 species
UUCGCAAUGCCCGAAAGGGUGACGAAGCGACGCCGCGUGGGUGAGGAAGGCCUUCGGGUUGUAAAGCCCUGUCAGGAGUUAAGAAAUGUAGAUUCGCUAAUAUCGGGUCUAUUUGACAAAGGCUCCAAAGGAAGCCACGGCUAACUCUGUCCCAGCAGCCGCGGUAAUACAGAGGUGGCAAGCGUUGUUCGGAAUUAUUGGGCGUAAAGAGCACGUAGGUGGAUUUGUAAGUCAGAUGUGAAAGCCUUCUGUUCAACGGAAGAAUUGCAUCUGAAACUACAAACCUUGAGUGUAGGAGGGGAGAAUGGAACUUCUGGUGGAGCGGUGAAAUGCGUAGAUAUCAGAAGGAACGCCGGCGGCGAAAGCGAUUCUCUGGCCUAUUACUGACACUCAGUGUGCGAAAGCUAGGGGAGCAAACGGGAUUAGAUACCCCGGUAGUCCUAGCCGUAAACGAUGGGCACUAAGUAGAGGGGUUUU